rnacentral:lncRNA from 1 species
AUGCAUUUUGGCACUGCCUUUCUUUUAAAACAUGGUUCCACUCACAGUGAGCUUGGUGUGGCAGUGACCUUCUCACCCAUCAAGUGUUCUCAUUGUCUUUGUUCAAACAAGCAAUCCCCGGAGAAGAUUUACAAGAGGUCUAAGCUGGAGAGAUGCUCUCAACAUCAGUGAUAGGAAGAUUUACAGCAGCUGUGAGUCUCAUCAUCACUACAUAUAUUUGAGGUAGAAUCUGAUAUAGAAUAUGUUUCUAUUUUAAAUUUUCUAAACCGAUUUUCUAAACAGCAGCAGUCACUUUUACCUACAAUCUGUCUGAGAUUUCAAGAUCACUUGAUCACAGCCAAAAGACUUCUUGUGCUUGCUUCAGAGUGGGAAUCACUGGUGUUUUCAUAGUAGUUCUUCAGCUGGCAGAGAAAGGCAAAAAAGGAGUCAAGAGAUGGAAGCAGCAGCUAAAGAGUUAGACUAGAAAUACACAGACUGAAAAGGAAGAGUUGGCUGGUAUAUAUUUUUUUUAUUUAUUCAGACAAAGGUUGGUCUUCUGAUUUGAUUUCUUCAGAUCAGGGUUGGAUGCCCUUUCUUGAAGAUCGAUUUUACUCAAAUACAAAGUUAUUGACCUCAGCAAAACAAUAUGUGGAUGCAAACCUAGCUUAAAUGAGCAGCAUACAGCUGCAAUCACCUCACAUAAGCAACAAGAGUAACUACACCCAUCAGGUCUAACAUAUAAGCUUUCUGCCCUUCUCCUAUUCUGACCUUUCUUGAGAAACCUGAACUGAGGUGCUACUGAAUGAAUGAAAGACUUUAUGUCUAGUGCUUAUGACUGAUGUCAUAAAUGAAAUCUGUCAAAAAAAAAAGUUUCCCUCCAAACUUAAAAUUUAACCAUCUAUAAUUAUCAUUAACUUUUCUAACUGUACAGAGAAGCAAAUAUUCCAUUCAAUCAAAACAAUACUAUGUGCUUCAUCUAAUAUGAAAUGCACAACUUUAGUCAUGUUUAAAAUGCUGGAACACUCCUGCCUAUUAAUAACUGUAGACUGAUAUUAACAGUUUAAUACUAAACAAAGAUGCUCAUUUCUUUCCAAAAACCUCCCACUACCACACAAUAGAAUAAUUAAGAAUGCUUGGUUCUAAUAGCAUCCUGGCAAGAAAAAUGGGGGAAAAAAAAGAGCUCUAUCAAAGCAAACACAGUUUCAAAUAUCAAUGCUACAACAACAGCUUGGGAAUGAACCACCUACUCAGACUUUUCAGUAAAUAAACUUCAAAACCUGACUUGUCUAAUCA